rnacentral:tRNA from 1 species
GGGUAGGUGGUGCAGCAGGCAGCACGGUCAGGAAGACAAACGCAGGUUCAAAGCCUGCCCUAUCCA